GGCUGUGGCUCAGUGGUUGAACACUUGCCUCGCAUGCGUGAGGCACUGGGUUGGAUCCUCAGCACCA
rnacentral:tRNA from 1 species